rnacentral:rRNA from 1 species
AUAUUCAAAUGAGAACUUUGAAGACUGAAGUGGAGAAAGGUUCCGUGUGAACAGCAGUUGGACACGGGUGAGCCGAUCCUAAGAGACAGGAAAAUUCCGCCGAACGCGGCCUCUUCUGUAGGCCCGUCCGUCGAAAGGGAAUCAGGUUAAUAUUCCUGAGCCAGAGCGAGGAUGGUGGGCGGCAACGCGUACGAACCCGGAGACACCAGCGGGAGCCCUGGGAAGAGUUCUCUUUUCUUCUUAACUGCCUAAUGCCCUGGAAUCGGUUUAGCCGGAGAGAGGGCUACAUGGCAGGCAAAGCACCCUAAGUCUUGGGGUGUCCGGUGCGCUCCCGACGGUCCGUGAAAAUCCGGGGGAGCGGUUCGUUCUCUCGCCUGGUCGUACUCAUAACCGCAUCAGGUCUCCAAGGUGAACAGCCUCUAGUCUUAUAGAGCAAUGUAGGUAAGGGAAGUCGGCAAAAUGGUUCCGCAACUUCGGGAGAAGGAAUGGCUCUGAAGGCUGGGCACAGGGGUCCCAAGUUUGAAGCCGGACGCUGCGCGAGGACUACUGGCAACGGCGGACCUUGCGCGGCCGAAGGUGGACGGCCUGGGAACUGGUUUGCGCCUUUCCCUGUGUAAUGAACAGCUACUUCAGAACUGGCGCGGACAAGGGGAAUCCGACUGUUUAAUUAAAACAAAGCAUUGCGAUGGCCCGCGAGGGUGCUGACGCAAUGUGAUUUCUGCCCAGUGCUCUGAAUGUCAAAGUGAAGAAAUUCAACCAAGCGCGGGUAAACGGCGGGAGUAACUAUGACUCUCUUAAGGUAGCCAAAUGCCUCGUCAUCCAAUUAGUGACGCGCAUGAAUGGAUUCGUGAGAUUCCCACUGUCCCUAUCUACUGUCUAGCGAAACCACAGCCAAGGGAACGGGCUUGGAAGAAUCAGCGGGGAAAGAAGACCCUGUUGAGCUUGACUCUAGUCUGUUACUGUGGAACGACUUGAUGGGUGUAGAAUAUGCGGGAGGGGCAACCCGACAGUGAAAUACCGCAACCGUCAACGUUGUUUUACUUACUCGGUGGCGCGGAGGGAGGCUCGCCUCACUUCUGGAUCCAAGCCGCUUCGUGCGCGCGAUCCGCGUCGGGGACACUAACAGGUGGGGAGUUUGGCUGGGGCGGCACGUCUGUUAAAAAAUAACGCAGGCGCCCGAUUUUGAGCUCAAUGAGAACAGAAAUCUCAUGUG